CUAGUAACGGCGAGUGAAGCGGCAACAGCUCAAAUUUGAAAUCUGGCGUCUUUGGCGUCCGAGUUGUAAUUUGCAGAGGGCGCUUUGGCAUUGGCAGCGGUCCAAGUUCCUUGGAACAGGACGUCACAGAGGGUGAGAAUCCCGUACGUGGUCGCUAGCCUUUACCGUGUAAAGCCCCUUCGACGAGUCGAGUUGUUUGGGAAUGCAGCUCUAAAUGGGAGGUAAAUUUCUUCUAAAGCUAAAUACUGGCCAGAGACCGAUAGCGCACAAGUAGAGUGAUCGAAAGAUGAAAAGCACUUUGGAAAGAGAGUUAAAAAGCACGUGAAAUUGUUGAAAGGGAAGCGCUUGCAGCCAGACUUGCCUGUAGUUGCUCAUCCGGGUUUUUACCCGGUGCACUCUUCUAUAGGCAGGCCAGCAUCAGUUUGGGCGGUUGGAUAAAGGUCUCUGUCACGUACCUCCUCUCGGGGAGAACUUAUAGGGGAGACGUAAUGCAACCAGCCUGGACUGAGGUCCGCGCAUCUGCUAGGAUGCUGGCGUAAUGGCUGUAAGCGGCCCGUCUUGAAACACGGACCAAGGAGUCUAACAUCUAUGCGAGUGUUUGGGUGUCAAGCCCGAGCGCGUAAUGAAAGUGAACGGAGGUGGGAACCUUUCGGGGUGCACCAUCGACCGAUCCUGAUGUCUUCGGAUGGAUUUGAGUAAGAGCAUAGCUGUUGGGACCCGAAAGAUGGUGAACUAUGCUUGAAUAGGGUGAAGCCAGAGGAAACUCUGGUGGAGGCUCGCAGCGGUUCUGACGUGCAAAUCGAUCGUCAAAUUUGGGCAUAGGGGCGAAAGACUAAUCGAACUAUCUAGUAGCUGGUUCCUGCCGAAGUUUCCCUCAGGAUAGCAGUAACGUUUUCAGUUUUAUGAGGUAAAGCGAAUGAUUAGAGGCCUGGGGGUUGAAACAACCUUCACCUAUUCUCAAACUUUAAAUAUGUAAGAAGUCCUUGUUACUUAAUUGAACGUGGACAGUUGAAUGUAUCGUUACUAGUGGGCCAUUUUUGGUAAGCAGAACUGGCGAUGCGGGAUGAACCGAACGCGGGGUUAAGGUGCCAGAAUAUACGCUCAUCAGACACCACAAAAGGUGUUAGUUCAUCUAGACAGCAGGACGGUGGCCAUGGAAGUCGGAAUCCGCUAAGGAGUGUGUAACAACUCACCUGCCGAAUGAACUAGCCCUGAAAAUGGAUGGCGCUCAAGCGUAUUACCCAUACCCCGCCGCUGGGGCAAGAUUUAAGCCCCAGCGAGUAGGCAGGCGUGGAGGUCCGUGACGAAGCCUGGG
rnacentral:rRNA from 1 species